ensembl:lncRNA
GGCUGCCACCCUCAUCCCAGGCUCUUCCCGGGUCCCCGCCUGGUGUCCUGCACCUCCCCUACCUUGCAGCCUCUCCCUUGGUCCCCUCAGGGCCCCCUCUCCUGUGUCAUUCCUGGCGCUCGUCAUUUUUGGCUUUGUGUUAGAGCUAUGCAUGUGCUUCCUUUCCCUCAGCACUGUCUGAGAGGCUCAGUAGCCCUGCCUGCUGCUCUGGGGAGUGACUGUGGGAAGCCUGGUGUCAACCCGGUACUUCCUCAAGUGUGUUGAUGAGUUUCUGGGACCCUGCUCCUGGUCUCUCUACAACCCACCCCGACCCCAGCAAGCCUCAUGAAUGGGGCACCCCUGGGAGACAGGAGGAAGAGUAGAUGGAAGCCUGGUAGAUAGUGAUACAGGCCUCAUACAGACCAACCCUGAUCCUCCAGUGUCACCUCUCUGAGCCCUACCUGUGAUACGGAGAUCCAGGGCGGGCCUGACCACUGAACAGAAAUGCGCUUGGACUUCUCGGCUCCGCACAGAGAGGCCACUCCGACUUCUCUCUCAUAUCAAGGGACCCAAGGGGCACCCAGGCACAGGGGCAUGCUCACGGAGCACCCAGUAGUCGGAGCACCAAGACCUGGCUCUUCACACCCGUCAAAAUAUGAAACUGCCUGCCACCCAGCUCCAGAGGAGGACAGUGAGGUUCAGCGAAGAGACUUCUUUCUGCCCCUCCCAUUUCGUGUCCAGAUGAAUGAACCCACAAGAACUUGGCUGGCUGGCUCUGAAUUCCGACUUCCCUGGGAAAGCACAGAACGUUACCUACACUGUUUAGCUGCUCCAGAAAGAGUUCUGCCAGGAGCAGAGGGGUGUAUCAGGGAGUUGUCUGAACAACCUCAGUGGCGUGACUCCAUUGAUAUGAGGAUCUGCCCUCGGACGGGAGGCGUCCUCUCUCUGAGGCAGGAAGGCCGUCUGAGGAGCCGACGGAGACACAGCCCUCCUCUCCCCAGUGCUGGGGAAGGAGAUUCUCUCUCUUGAACCCACAUCCACUUUUCCCACGGGACACAGGUGCCUCCACACCUCCCCCUGCCCCCCGCUCCCCACAGUCACUGGGCCCAUGAAAGAGGAGAAAUCUGGGAGAGGAGCUGGGCAAGUUGUAAAAAGAAGUUGUCUGUAGAAUUCCCCCUCUUCCUGCCUUGGGGCAUCCAGGCUUCAGGAACAUGGGGUGUCCUGUGAGGCUCUUGGUGUUCAUGUCCCUGGCCCACUGCUGCCUGACUUCUGACAAAGACCCCCUCACCCAUCUCAGGGCCUCUCCAGCCCCAUGCCUGCCUUGGCCUGUCCUCCUACAGCCUCAUGAAAAAGCCUGUCCUGCCUUCCCUUGUACUGAUCCUUGGCCUGGAAUGCUGACCCCACCCUGGCCUUUCGGCCCUCUGCCAAGUCCCGCUGCGCCCUCUCGCCUCAGUUCCCUGCUUCUACCCCACUUGACUGUGACCACCCCUCAUCCCAUCCCCACCUUGAAAUCCCCUUUGCGCCCAACACACAUUACUAAUGGGACCACUUUUGGUCUCGGGUAUAAGUAUCCGGCAGCUGUCCUGAGUUUUGCACUUGACUGAGGCCAUUGAGGUAGAGGCAACCUCGCUGUGUUUUUCCCCAAUGAGGAACAGAGUAGUUGCUCAUCAGUGUGUGCUGAAGGAACACUGAUGGACUCAGGUUAGCCCACCUCCACACUGCCCACCAAAUGAGAAGUGUUUGCCCGUGGGAACAGGGUGGUGGGUCCCUAGAACUAGGUGGACUUCCAGGGCGUAUUCAGUGGGCCGGCUGGGCACUCAGCACUGUUUAGGGCAUUGUUUGCAUGGGACAUGCACUCUGAGUUCCAUACAGCCUGGCUUCAGAUAAGCUCACAGGAACAAGUUGUCUUCUUUGAACUUGGCGACUGUCUGCAUUUGCCCAUAAGCAGGCCCAGGAGCCCAGUCUAAAGACUGGUCAAGAUGGGAAGACCAUAAGCAUUCCUGAAGCAGGAAGGAGCAGACAUGAAACAGAAAGUCCCCCAGCUCCUUGUCCUUUGAAAUUAUAAAGACCUGAAACCAUCUCCCCAGCCCACCCCUCCAGCACAACGAAACCCUAGCAAUUCCACUGUUGCCAGGAUUACAGCUGUCUACUUCACUGUGUCCUAAACAGAUUUCUCUGAACCUUGAAGGUCAACACUGCAGCACUUCCUGGAUAAAAAAUAAAAAAGUCGUUAGCUCCCAUUAGCCAAGGCCCACCUCUGGGCAUAUGGUAAGGACUGCAUCACUCUCCCCUUCCCUUUUAACC